GAUUCGUAAUACACACUAGUCGAGUGACUCCGCGCCGAAAAUGUACCGGGGCUAAAUACACCACCGAAGCUGCGAAUUGAUACCAAUGGUAUCAGUGGUAGGGGAGCGUUCUAAGUGCAGUGAAGUCAGACCGGAAGGACUGGUGGAGCGCUUAGAAGUGAGAAUGCCGGUAUGAGUAGCGAAAGACGGGUGAGAAUCCCGUCCACCGAAUGCCUAAGGUUUCCUGAGGAAGGCUCGUCCGCUCAGGGUUAGUCAGGACCUAAGCCGAGGCCGACAGGCGUAGGCGAUGGACAACAGGUUGAUAUUCCUGUACCACCUCUUUAUCGUUUGAGCAAUGGAGGGACGCAGAAGGAUAGAAGAAGCGUGCGAUUGGUUGUGCACGUCCAAGCAGUUAGGCUGAUAAGUAGGCAAAUCCGCUUAUCGUGAAGGCUGAGCUGUGAUGGGGAAGCUCCUUAUGGAGCGAAGUCUUUGAUUCCCCGCUGCCAAGAAAAGCUUCUAGCGAGAUAAAAGGUGCCUGUACCGCAAACCGACACAGGUAGGCGAGGAGAGAAUCCUAAGGUGUGCGAGAAAACUCUGGUUAAGGAACUCGGCAAAAUGACCCCGUAACUUCGGGG
rnacentral:rRNA from 1 species